rnacentral:rRNA from 1 species
GACAGAGGGUGCGAACGUUGCUCGGAAUCACUGGGCGUAAAGCGCGCGUAGGCGGACCGGAAAGUCGGUUGUGAAAUCCCCGGGCUCAACCCGGGAACUGCGUCCGAUACUGGCAGGCUUGAAUUCGGGAGAGGGAUGUGGAAUUCCAGGUGUAGCGGUGAAAUGCGUAGAUAUCUGGAGGAACACCGGUGGCGAAGGCGGCAUCCUGGACCGAUAUUGACGCUGAUGCGCGAAAGCCAGGGGAGCAAACGGG